CAAUGGCGGAGGAGGAGCGUGUUCUCCAUGCGAUCCCUCAUCUCAUCUCAUCUCUCUCUCUCUCUCUCUCUCUCUCUCUCUCUCUCUAUUUUCGCAACAAUGGCGGAGGAGGAGCGUGGUCUCCAUGCGACCCCUCGCCUCGUCCACCUCAUCGCGCGUCCGCAUACGACGCCGACUAUGAGGCAACAAGCUACUGCUAUGAACCCUAGUAUCCUCGGUGGGUGCGGUGGCCGGAGGGCCUAGCGCCGCCGCGGCGCACCGGGAGGGGUUUGAAGCCAAAUCCUAGACCUGGUCCACCGCGCCAUCCGUGGACCGAGCCAAUCGGAUCGCAUCCUGUGGAAAUUGUAUGUAAGCGUUGCACUAUUCUUUCUUUUCCUCAUCACAAUGAACAUAUCCUUCAAAAAUUUUCAUUCAUUUUCUUUUUUCCCCAAUGGAUCAUGAAAAAAGAAAGGGUAAACUUCAAAUUGCCCCCCGUGUUUUAGCUCAUUUUUACUUUGCCACUCCGUGAUUCCAAAAGUUUUACUCUUUUUUGCUCCCCUGUGGUUUAUAGCUCAUUUUCCAUUUAGGGUCCGUUUGGUUCAACGUAAAACUGUGAAAGAUAAUUUUCGGUGGAAAAGAAAUUUCGAUGGAAAAAAAAACGCUCUUUAACGUUUUAUUUGUAGGGGAAAAAAGGAGCUUUCCAAUGCUUGUUUGAUUGAAAGAAAAAAUUUGAAUGAAAAAUAAUUUUAAAUAUUUUUGUUCUGUUAUAUUAUGUAUCAUUAUUUAUAUAAAUAAUUAUCAUAUUAUAUUUAUAUAAUUAAUAUUUAUAUCUAUAUAUAUUAGUAUAAUCAUCAUCAUCAUCAUCAUCUAUAUGUAUUCCAGCCUAGUUCUAUAAUAUAUAAUAACAUGGAUAUAAUAUAUAAAUAUGAGGCCCGCUACAGUGCUAUCAAUAGCACCAAACACUUGAUGUUACCAAAUUUUUCUCCAUUAGAUCUAUCCCUUCGACUAGUUCCACUCCUUAGAUCAUAUUGUUCUACCAACCACUCACUAAACUCUAGAGGGAUCACUGUCAUUAUAACCGCACAUCCUUCAUCGAAGAGCCGAAAAACUGAUAGUACCUAUAACUUGGUGCUAUUAAUAGUAUUCUUGCCUAGUUCUAUAUAUAUAUAUAUAUAUAUAUAUAUAUAUAUAAAGAGGGUAAGAGACCAUCAUCCUCCAGAGAGUUUUCGUUCUCCGCCGAAAAACAGCGGAAAACGGAAACUUCAAAUUUUCCAUUUACGGCUCAAUUCUCUCUCUACUGAUGUUGGCAUGGCAGCUGGGUGGCCUGCUGUUGGGCAGGCUUGCUGCAGCUACACAGUCGUUACGAGAGUGGAAUCUCUGUUGAUCUUUUCAUCUCUCUACCUUUAACAUCUUUCUCACUUGCUGUUCUUUUUUCUGUUUUAUUUGGGGGGUUUCAGUUUGAUUUAUUGCAUAUAUUUUUUCUUAAAAUUUUGAUUUUGACUUUUCAACUCAAAUUGUUGGAUGAACAAUUUAGUAUUUGAAUCAUACUUUCCCUAUUUUUUGGAGCUUUUUGAGUAUCAAUAAAUCAAUUCUGUUGGAUAAAUUUCUUCUUCACUAUUUAUUUGGUGAGGGAAAAGGGAUGGCAUUACUUUGAGCGUUGCUUUUGUUCUACAUCGUUGAACUUACGAACAUGCCACAUCGGCCAUUAAAAUAGUCAUUUUGUCCAGGUAAUCUGAGCAUUGCUUUUGUUUUCUUUCCUUCCCUUUUGCUGAGAAAAUCGAAGGUAUUAUUGGAAGCUCGUCAUAUAUUCGUUAUCGUUUUGUUCUUGGUAUUACCAUUUUACCAUUUUAUCAAUUUGUAUUUGUUUCUUGUGAAUUCUUUGAUGAUCAUUUUGUUUUUCGAACUUUGAAAUUAGGUUUUUUUUUUCUUUCCACUCUCUCUUGUUGCAUUCACUGGUUCUUUUCCACU
rnacentral:lncRNA from 1 species